AACGCGAAGAACCUUACCUGGGCUUGAACAGCUACUGACCAAGGGUAGAAAUAUCCUCUUCCCGCAAGGGACCUGUGUAGAGGUGCUGCAUGGCUGUCGUCAGCUCGUGCCGUGAGGUGUUGGGUUAAGUCCCGCAACGAGCGCAACCCUUACUCUUAGUUGCCACCCGCAAGGGGGAACUCUAGGAGGACUGCUCCGGAUAACGGAGAGGAAGGUGGGGAUGAGGUCAAGUCAGCAUGGCCUUUAUGUCCAGGGCUACACACGUGUUACAAUGCGCGCUACAAAGUGUCGCGAACCCGCGAGGGGGAGCUAAUCGCAAAAAAGCGCGCUCAGUUCGGAUUGCAGUCUGCAACUCGACUGCAUGAAGCUGGAAUCGCUAGUAAUGGCGCAUCAGAUCGGCGCCGUGAAUACGUUCCCGGGCCUUGUACACACCGAGUAUA
rnacentral:rRNA from 1 species